AUUGAACGCUGGCGGCAGGCCUAACACAUGCAAGUCGAACGAGUGGCGGACGGGUGAGUAAUGUCUGGGAAACUGCCUGAUGGAGGGGGAUAACUACUGGAAACGGUAGCUAAGACCGCAUACCAUCGGAUGUGCCCAGACGGGAUUCGCUAGUAGGGGGGGUAAAGGCGCACCAAGGCGACGAUCCCUAGAUGGUCUGAGAGGAUGACCAGCCACACUGGAACUGAGACACGGUCCAGAUGCCUACGGGAGGCAGCAGUGGGGAAUAUUGCACAAUGGGCGAAAUCCUGAUGCAGCCAUGCCGCGUGUAUGAAGAAGGCCUUCGGGUUGUAAAGUACUUUCAGCGGGGAGGCGUUACCCGCAGAAGAAGCACCGGCUAACUCCGUGCCAGCAGCCGCGGUAAUAC
rnacentral:rRNA from 1 species